GUAACGUGCUGACUACUAGCAAAACAUCACUGUGAUAGUCUAUGGAAAUCAGCAUCUUCUUCAGGGGGUGUGUCUCGGAUUACACCGCGCUCUGUGCUCAUGGUGCUGAAGUUUAAAGCUCUGCUGCCAUCUGCAGGGGUCUGUCCUUCACGUCCCUGCAAACUAGACUGGCGUGGCUGGAUUGCUAUGGAUGUAGUUUGGGGGAAGAGAUGGUGUCCUAAAAGAGAUGUUCUGCUGCAUCCCUGGGAGGCUUUGCAUGCGUGAAGUUUUCCACAUUCCCAAAGUGGUUUUGGUUCAGAAGUCUCAGCUUUACACCUCUUGGGUAGCACCCAGAAAUAUAAACCUGCAGGGAGCCUCACAAUGUGCCUGGUACUCUGUUCUGCCACCAUAUCCUCCAGACUAGGACUGCCUGAGGGAGAUGCCCACUACCGCCGCAGAAGAGGUUGAGCACGUCUGCACAUGGGUCCAGGACAAUUCCCAUUGUGAUGUGGGAUGCUGCUCUCCCUGCUGAAGUAUUCCCUUGCUCAGCAGGUGUUUUCUUCAGCAAGAUGGUGUCUCUGAAGAUGAUAGUGCUGCAUUUCCUGAUGUUUCUUCUGGACAUAGUCAAGGAUGAGGAAGAGGAUGAAGGCAUAACUGUAUAUUUGUGUGUGUUUGAAGUGAACUGGGCCCAUUCAGCAGUAGCCUUGUGAAACCAUCCCCAGGCUGACACUCAGGUAGUGCUGCAGCCCUGUCUGUGGGGUAGUGCAUGUCCCUAGAGCUGGACAGAGACCCCCACCUGCAUGAGGGAAAUGUUAUACUUUGCUGUAGGGCAGUAAGUAGAGAUGUGAUCCCUCUGAACAGGGUGGCUUCUACACUCAGGUUGAAAUUGGGGUGAGGGGCAUUUAUGAUGACAGCAAGGGGAUGUUAAAGUCCUCACAAUAGAAAUGGUUUCCAGACACAGGCAGGCUGUCUGGCACUGCUGUCCCUGUACACUCCAGCUCAUGGCCAGACACUCAGGUCAGGCAGAAUCAGUGGCUGUCCUGGGCUGCUCACCACAUCCUGAGCUGCUGGUACCUCCAGAGAGUUGUCCUGGGGCAACUGAGUGGUCACACCCUCGGGCUGAACCUUGGCUCUGUCGCUGUGACCAGCUUUAGCCCUGUCCUGUGCAAUAAGAAUCAGACCAACUCCACAUACACCUGGACUUUGCCUCUUGGUAGGGAAGUGGCUCCUCUUCCAGUGGAAUUAAAAGGAGAAACUGCUGGCUCUUAAUGCCGACUGGGUCCAAUUUUUUCCUGGCACAGAUUGCAUGGUUUCACUACAAAGAAAACCUAACUAUUGUAGCAAUUUUAACAAUACACAAAUGAUCACACUUUUAUUAAUUUCUCAGCCAUUGCCAACAACAUUUCAGAACUCCUACUGAAAUCAUUAUUCCUCCUUCAAGGGCAAGUAAAUCACCUGAGACUGCCUUUUCAUCAUCGUGCGGAACACCUUAAUCACACCUGAAAUUCCUCUCAAUAAACAGUGCUAGGAUGUUAGUCCUCACCCAUUGGCUUUGCAGUAGUAUUUCCUCCAUUUUGUUUUGUAGGGGCUUAGGAAUCAAAACUGGCAAAAAAUUUUUUCUAGAACUGCAUUUUUUCAAAAACUACGUUUUUUUCUAAAACUGCAUUUUUAACAGCAUUUUAGAAGGACUACUCCUUUUGUGAUAGCAACACUUGAUUGCUCAGAGUAACUCAAACAACACAUCAGAAGCUGAACCCGUCUUGCAAUGUCUGAUGAACUGAAGAAAUGCCUCUUCUAAAGCAGACUCAAGGUUGCUGUGUUCAGAGGCAUUUGCACAGCCACUGUGGAUAAGGAAGCAAUUUUCAAUGGAAUUAGAAUUUCUCUCAAGAGCUGACUGAUUCUUCAUCAAAUAGUAUAAACACAGACAGGCCUUUGAGCAAAUUCUUUCAGAUGAAGUGUUUUUGGUGCCUCCUUUAACAAAAUAAAAGAAAUAAAUAAUUUUUCA